GGCUUGCUACCUGACCUAGCGGCGGACGGGUGAGUAAUGCUUAGGAAUCUGCCUAUUAGUGGGGGACAACAUUCCGAAAGGAAUGCUAAUACCGCAUACGCCCUACGGGGGAAAGCAGGGGAUCUUCGGACCUUGCGCUAAUAGAUGAGCCUAAGUCAGAUUAGCUAGUUGGUGGGGUAAAGGCCUACCAAGGCGACGAUCUGUAGCGGGUCUGAGAGGAUGAUCCGCCACACUGGGACUGAGACACGGCCCAGACUCCUACGGGAGGCAGCAGUGGGGAAUAUUGGACAAUGGGCGAAAGCCUGAUCCAGCCAUGCCGCGUGUGUGAAGAAGGCCUUUUGGUUGUAAAGCACUUUAAGCGAGGAGGAGGCUACUUAGAUUAAUACUCUAGGAUAGUGGACGUUACUCGCAGAAUAAGCACCGGCUAACUCUGUGCCAGCAGCCGCGGUAAUACAGAGGGUGCGAGCGUUAAUCGGAUUUACUGGGCGUAAAGCGUGCGUAGGCGGCUUCUUAAGUCGGAUGUGAAAUCCCUGAGCUUAACUUAGGAAUUGCAUUCGAUACUGGGAAGCUAGAGUAUGGGAGAGGAUGGUAGAAUUCCAGGUGUAGCGGUGAAAUGCGUAGAGAUCUGGAGGAAUACCGAUGGCGAAGGCAGCCAUCUGGCCUAAUACUGACGCUGAGGUACGAAAGCAUGGGGAGCAAACAGGAUUAGAUACCCUGGUAGUCCAUGCCGUAAACGAUGUCUACUAGCCGUUGGGGCCUUUGAGGCUUUAGUGGCGCAGCUAACGCGAUAAGUAGACCGCCUGGGGAGUACGGUCGCAAGACUAAAACUCAAAUGAAUUGACGGGGGCCCGCACAAGCGGUGGAGCAUGUGGUUUAAUUCGAUGCAACGCGAAGAACCUUACCUGGUCUUGACAUAGUAAGAACUUUCCAGAGAUGGAUUGGUGCCUUCGGGAACUUACAUACAGGUGCUGCAUGGCUGUCGUCAGCUCGUGUCGUGAGAUGUUGGGUUAAGUCCCGCAACGAGCGCAACCCUUUUCCUUAUUUGCCAGCGGGUUAAGCCGGGAACUUUAAGGAUACUGCCAGUGACAAACUGGAGGAAGGCGGGGACGACGUCAAGUCAUCAUGGCCCUUACGACCAGGGCUACACACGUGCUACAAUGGUCGGUACAAAGGGUUGCUACCUAGCGAUAGGAUGCUAAUCUCAAAAAGCCGAUCGUAGUCCGGAUUGGAGUCUGCAACUCGACUCCAUGAAGUC
rnacentral:rRNA from 1 species